ACUAAGCCAUGCGAGGCGUUCGCCCCUUUGGGGCGAGCCGAACUGCUCAGUAACACGUAGCCAACCUACCCUGAGGACGGGGAUAACCCCGGGAAACUGGGGAUAAUCCCCGAUAGGCAAGGUGUGCUGGAAGGCCUCCUUGCUGAAAGGUCCGCUUCGGUGGGCGCCUCAGGAUGGGGCUGCGGCGGAUUAGGUUGUUGCCAGGGUAACGUCCUGGCAAGCCGAUAAUCCGUACGGGCCCUGAGAGGGGGAGCCCGGAGAUGGGUUCUGAGACAUGAACCCAGGCCCUAUGGGGCGCAGCAGGCGCGAAACCUCCGCAAUGGGCGCAAGCUCGACGGGGGGACUCCGAGUGCCCUCUGCUUUUGCAGGGGGCUUUUGCCGAGUGUAAACAGCUCGGCGAAUAAGGGGUGGGCAAGACCGGUGCCAGCCAUUUGCUUGGUCACAACAUUUCUAAGAAUCGUUUGUGACCAAGCAAACUGGAAGCCGCGGUAAUACCGGCGCCCCGAGUGGUGGUCACGAUUAUUGGGCCUAAAGCACCCGUAGCCGGCCUGGUAAGUUCUCAGUGAAAUCCUCCCGUUGACGGGAGGGCUUGCUGGGAAUACUGCCAGGCUAGGGACCGGAAGAGGCCGGGGGUACUCCCGGGGUAGGGGUAAAAUCCGUUAAUCCCGGGGGGACCACCUGUGGCGAAGGCGCCCGGCCAGAACGGUUCCGACGGUGAGGGGUGAAAGCCAGGGGAGCGAUCGGGAUUAGAUACCCCGGUAGUCCUGGCCGUAAACGAUGCCCACUUGGUGUUGUCCCUCCUUCGGGGAGGGGCAGUGCCGGAGGGAAGCCGUUAAGUGGGCCGCCUGGGGAGUACGGCCGCGAGGCUGAAACUUAAGGGAAUUGGCGGGGGAGCACUACAAGGGGUGGAGCCUACGGUUCAAUUGGAUUCAACGCCGGA
rnacentral:rRNA from 1 species